UGAGCAAUCUGCCCUUCUCUUUGGAAUAAGCGUUGGAAACGACGUCUAAUGCCGAAUACGACCUCCUUUCGCAUGAUCGGAGGUGGAAAGCUCCGGCGGAGAAGGAUGAGCUCGCGGCCUAUCACCUAGUUGGUGUGGGUAAUGGCCCACCAAGGCGACGACGGGUAGCCGGCCUGAGGAGGGCGACCGGCCACACGUGGGACUGAGAUACGGCCCAGACUCCGUACGGGGAGGCAGC
rnacentral:rRNA from 1 species